CUUCGUCGUUGGUGGCGGCAGACUAAAAAAAUCUCUAUCAUUCAUAUCAUUCAGACGGCGGUCAUGAUUCUGGGCAUUCGUAAAUUUUCCGAUUGAUGGCAAUGUUGAAGCUGGUGGAGUUAAUUAAGAUGAUGAACGGUGAGAUUCCAGCCAUGGAAGUAGUAGAAGCCGAUGGCAACACAAAAGCUGACAGUGACAGUAACCGGUAAGCAGGGCAAUGGAGGAACUAGAUAACUCAAUUUUCCAGGGGCCAUUGUUUUGCCAGCCAAGCACUGUAAAACGUCUGAUAAACAAGUGUCAGAGUAGUCCCUCCUAAGUUUUGGUCUUCAAGCAAAAGAGAGAGGAACAAAGAAAAGGCGUCUGAAGCUGGCUGUAACCAUACAAAGGCGGCUUGGAAUUGUUUUAUCCAUUCCGACCCGAUUCUAGAAACACAUAUGGUGUAAGCAAGAGUGAGUUACUUGACCGCCUUGCUUUUCUUUGGGAGAAACAAAAGUGAUUUGCGGAGACCAAAGAAGCCCCUGCUAAAGCGGGAGAAAUGUUACUUCUUUUGACGAAGAAUUUGCCACAGGGAAAGGUUGUUUUUCUUGUGCCGGCUGAGGCACGCGCAGCUAUUAAGUGAAUGGCAUUCAAGCGUUACAAAGAUGCUCCCUUGUAUCUGGAGUGGGCUCCUGGAAAUAUUCUUUAGCCAAAAACUCUUCCUGAUAACAAUGAAAAGAAAAGUGAUGUUGGAGAAAAUGAUUUGAGUAGAGUCGACUUGGAGCAGCAGGUUGAAAUCGAUCCAGAUAUAAAUGAGUUAUGUCCUGCUAUAAUAGCUUUAAACAUAUAUUCUUCCUUUUUUUGAGUUGUAUUGAGCUAUCCGAACUCACAAGAUAGUUGAGAAAAUCUUGGGAAACUAAAAGUUGAUUUUAGGCUUACCUUGUGGGGUUAUAUAUGGGCUGUGAAGCAGGGAUAGAUUCUGAGUGUCAAGAUAAUAAAGCAUGUAAAGUAUAGGAAGACUCUUUCAAGCGGUUAUUGGUUUUGUAGAAUUCGACUCUAUAGAAGCCAGUGGUCUACAAAAAUCUACAAGGAACUGUUCUGGAUGGGCAUGCUUUGAUCUUGAGAUUCUGUUGGAACAAGCGGAGUGACAAGUUUGGGAAAGGUUCAGACAUGGAAAAAACUUGUACAAAGUUACAUGUAGCUUUUAAGGCAGCCAAGAAAAAACUAUGACAGCUUUUCAGUCCAUUUGGACAGAUCAAGAGUCUCAGGCUUCUAAAGAAGAACAGUGGAAAGUAUGCAGGUUCUGCUUUUGUUGAAUUUGUGACAAAGCUAAGAAGAAAAGCUAAAAAGCGUUAUCCAUCCUCAACUCUCUCUCUCUCUCUAUGUGCGAAUGGGCCAACAACAAUGACAAUAGCAUGGAAUCCGGGUGCGUUCUGCUGCCAAGUUGGACCAAGAAAACGAUAUAUCCGCAGGAAAGGAAAAAGCUCGACAGUUGUUGAUGAAAACAUAAAAAUAUGCACUUUGUUUUGUUGUCGCUUUUGUGAUUUUCCAUGGUUGAAAUUUUGUUUUGCACUGGCCCCAUCUACUAUUUUAUUUUAUUUCGUGUGUCUUGCAUUCAUAUACAAUAAUACCCU